ACGAACGCUGGCGGCAUGCCUAACACAUGCAAGUCGAACGAUUGCCUUCGGGUGAUAGUGGCGCACGGGUGCGUAACGCGUGGGAAUCUGCCCUUAGGUUCGGAAUAACAGCUGGAAACGGCUGCUAAUACCGGAUGAUAUCGCGAGAUCAAAGAUUUAUCGCCUGAGGAUGAGCCCGCGUUGGAUUAGGUGGUUGGUGGGGUAAAGGCCUACCAAGCCGACGAUCCAUAGCUGGUCUGAGAGGAUGAUCAGCCACACUGGGACUGAGACACGGCCCAGACUCCUACGGGAGGCAGCAGUGGGGAAUAUUGGACAAUGGGCGCAAGCCUGAUCCAGCAAUGCCGCGUGAGUGAUGAAGGCCCUAGGGUUGUAAAGCUCUUUUACCCGGGAAGAUAAUGACUGUACCGGGAGAAUAAGCCCCGGCUAACUCCGUG
rnacentral:rRNA from 1 species